AGAGUUUGAUUAUGGCUCAGAACGUACGCUGGCGGCACGCCUAACACAUGCAAGUCGAACGAAGUAGCAAUACUUAGUGGCAGACGGGUGAGUAACAUGUAGGUAUCUACCCUUUGGCCUGGAAUAACACGAGGAAACUUGUGCUAAUACCGGAUAAGUCUUUACGGAGAAAGCUUUAUGCACCAUUGGAUGAGCCUGCACUUGAUUAGUUUGUUGGUAGGGUAAUGGCCUACCAAGACUAUGAUCAAUAGCUGAUUUGAGAGGAUGAUCAGCCACAUUGGGACUGAGACACGGCCCAAACUCCUACGGGAGGCAGCAGUGGGGAAUCUUGCACAAUGGAGGAAACUCUGAUGCAGCGAUGCCGCGUGAGUGAAGAAGGCCCUUGGGUUGUAAAGCUCUUUCGUCGGGGAAGAAAAUGACUGUACCCGAAUAAGAAGGUCCGGCUAACUUCGUGCCAGCAGCCGCGGUAAUACGAAGGGACCUAGCGUAGUUCGGAAUUACUGGGCUUAAAGAGUUCGUAGGUGGUUGAAAAAGUUGGUGGUGAAAUCCCAGAGCUUAACUCUGGAACUGCCAUCAAAACUUUUCAGCUAGAGUAUGAUAGAGGAAAGCAGAAUUUCUAGUGUAGAGGUGAAAUUCGUAGAUAUUAGAAAGAAUACCAAUUGCGAAGGCAGCUUUCUGGAUCAUUACUGACACUGAGGAACGAAAGCAUGGGUAGCGAAGAGGAUUAGAUACCCUCGUAGUCCAUGCCGUAAACGAUGUGUGUUAGACGUUGGAAAUUUAUUUUCAGUGUCGCAGCGAAAGCGAUAAACACACCGCCUGGGGAGUACGACCGCAAGGUUAAAACUCAAAUGAAUUGACGGGGACCCGCACAAGUAGUGGAGCAUGUGGUUUAAUUCGAAGAUACGCGCAGAACCUUACCAACACUUGACAUGUUCGUCGCGACUCUAAGAGAUUAGAGUUUUCGGUUCGGCCGGACGAAACACAGGUGCUGCAUGGCUGUCGUCAGCUCGUGUCGUGAGAUGUUGGGUUAAGUCCCGCAACGAGCGCAACCCUCACUUUUAGUUGCCAUCAUUAAGUUGGGCACUCUGAAAGAACUGCCAGUGAUAAGCUGGAGGAAGGUGGGGAUGACGUCAAGUCCUCAUGGCCCUUACGUGUUGGGCUACACACGUGCUACAAUGGUAUCUACAACAGGAAGCAAAACGGCAACGUUAAGCAAAUCCCGAAAAGAUACCUCAGUUCGGAUUGCACUCUGCAACUCGAGUGCAUGAAGCUGGAAUUACUAGUAAUCGUGGAUCAGCGUGCCACGGUGAAUGCGUUCCCGGGUCUUGUACACACCGCCCGUCACACCAUGGGAGUUGGUUCUACCUUAAGGCAAGGUUUUAAACCCUUGACCACGGUAUAGUCAGCGACUGGGGUGAAGUCGUAACAAGGUA
rnacentral:rRNA from 1 species